CCUACGGGAGGCAGCAGUGGGGAAUUUUCCGCAAUGGGCGAAAGCCUGACGGAGCAAUACCGCGUGAGGGAAGAAUGCCUACGGGUUGUAAACCUCUUUUAUCAGGGAGGAACAAAAUGACGUGUACCUGAUGAAUAAGCAUCGGCUAACUCUGUGCCAGCAGCCGCGGUAAGACAGAGGAUGCAAGUGUUAUCCGGAAUUACUGGGCGUAAAGCGUCUGUAGGUUGUUGAACAAGUCAACUGUUAAAUCUUGAAGCUCAACUUCAAAAUCGCAGUCGAAACUGUUUGACUAGAGUAUAGUAGAGGUAAAGGGAAUUUCCAGUGGAGCGGUGAAAUGCGUAGAUAUUGGAAAGAACACCGAUGGCGAAAGCACUUUACUGGGCUAUUACUGACACUCAGAGACGACAGCUAGGGUAGCAAAUGGGAUUAGAUACCCCAGUAGUCCUAGCCGUAAACUAUGGAUACUAGAUGUUGAACAGAUCGACCUGUGCAGUAUUAAAGCUAACGCGUUAAGUAUCCGCCUGGGAAGAUGCUGCAAGAGNGAACUCGAAAGGAUUGACGGCGUGAGAGUGCGACGACGACGACGAGGGAGAGG
rnacentral:rRNA from 1 species